AAUGAACGUUGGCGGCGUGGAUUAGGCAUGCAAGUCGCGCGACAAGGAACCUUCGGGUUCUGGAGGAGCGGCAAACGGGGUAGUAAGGCAUCGGAACGUACCCUCUUGUUGGGAAUAGCCGCGGGAAACUGCGAGUAAUGCCCAAUAAUCCCUACGGGGCAAAGGUCCGCCGCAGGAGGAGCGGCCGAUGUGAUACCAGCUAGUUGGUGAGGUAAUGGCUCACCAAGGCUUAGACGUCUAGGGGGUGUGAGAGCAUGGCCCCCACCACUGGGACUGAGAUACUGCCCAGACACCUACGGGUGGCUGCAGUCGAGGAAUCUUCGGCAAUGGGCGGCAAGCCUCGACCGAGCAACGCCGCCGUGCGGGAGUGAGGACCC
rnacentral:rRNA from 1 species